rnacentral:rRNA from 1 species
UACGGAAGGCAGCAGUGGGGAAUAUUGCACAAUGGGCGCAAGCCUGAUGCAGCCAUGCCGCGUGUAUGAAGAAGGCCUUCGGGUUGUAAAGUACUUUCAGUCGUGAGGAAGGUGUUAAGGUUAAUAACCUUAGCAAUUGACGUUAGCGACAGAAGAAGCACCGGCUAACUCCGUGCCAGCAGCCGCGGUAAUACGGAGGGUGCGAGCGUUAAUCGGAAUUACUGGGCGUAAAGGGCACGCAGGCGGUUAAUUAAGUUGGAUGUGAAAUCCCCCGGGCUUAACCUGGGAAUGGCAUUCAAGACUGGUUAGCUAGAGUCUUGUAGAGGGGGUAGAAUUCCAUGUGUAGCGGUGAAAUGCGUAGAGAUGUGGAGGAAUACCGGUGGCGAAGGCGGCCCCUGGACAAAGACUGACGCUCAUGUGCGAAAGCGUGGGGAGCAAACAGGAUUAGAUACC